rnacentral:rRNA from 1 species
GAUUAGUGGCGAACGGGUGAGUAACACGUGAGUAACCUGCCCCUUACUUUCCUGGAUAACUGCUCGAAAGGGUAGCUAAUACGGGAUAUUCUGACCAGUCUGCAUGGGUUGGUUUGGAAAGGUUGUUUUUCUGGUAAGGGAUGGGCUCGCGGCCUAUCAGCUUGUUGGUGGGGUGAUGGCCUACCAAGGCUUUGACGGGUAGCCGGCCUGAGAGGGUGGACGGUCACACUGGGACUGAGAUACGGCCCAGACUCCUACGGGAGGCAGCAGUGGGGAAUAUUGCACAAUGGGCGCAAGCCUGAUGCAGCGACGCCGCGUGAGGGAUGAAGGCCUUCGGGUUGUAAACCUCUUUCGUCAGGGAACAAGGCACUGCUUUUUUGGUGGUGUUGAGGGUACCUGGAUAAGAAGCGCCGGCUAACUACGUGCCAGCAGCCGCGGUAAUACGUAGGGCGCAAGCGUUGUCCGGAAUUAUUGGGCGUAAAGAGCUCGUAGGCGGCUGGUCGCGUCUGUCGUGAAAACUUCCGGCUCAACCGGGGGCUUGCGGUGGGUACGGGCCGGCUAGAGUGCGGUAGGGGUAACUGGAACUCCUGGUGUA